rnacentral:rRNA from 1 species
GGGCACCACCGAGAGUGGAGCCUGCGGCUUAGUUUGACUCAGGGCGGAAAAACUCACCCGGGCCGGACAUUUCGAGGAUUGACGGACUGACUAGCACUUUCUUGAUUUCAUGGGUGGUGGUGCAUGCUCGGUCUUAUUUGGUGGAGCUCUUUGUCUGGUUAAUUCCGAUAACCAACAAGACUCUAGCCUACUAGUGGGGUGGCCCGGUCGUUAUGCGCCCGGGCAGCGAGCUUCUUAGAGGGACAGACGGCGAGUAAGCCGAAACCUAUAGAGCAAUAACAGGUCUGGGAUGCCCUUAGAUGUCCGGGGCCGCACGCGCGCUACACUGAAGUGAUCACGAUUCUUCCAAGCCCGCUCCGCUAGGAGCGGGUGACCGUUUGAACCCCCUUCAUGAUAGGGAUUGAGCUGUGUAACUAUUGCUCAUGAACGAGUCAUUCCCAGAAGGAGGGAGUAACUUCCUUACGACGAUUACGUCCCUGCCCUUUGUACACACCGCCCGUCGCUACUACCGAUUGAUUG